UUGAGCUUUCUGAUACAUAACGGACUUCUGGAGGCGGGGCGACGCGAACUGUCGUUUCCCAGCAAUAGAAACUCAAAGCCCGAAUAACAUCCGGACUCGGCGGACACGGCGGCAUUGAACAUAGUCGGGUUUGACGGAGCUUCUGAUCAUCCAACUUUAAAGCUUUAAAUCCACUCUCAGAUUUUCCACAAUAACAGGUUACCGUUUGGUAGACUUCCUCUGAGCUGGACGUGAACGAGCCUGUUGGACAGACAUUAAACACAGAACUGUGAGGCAUCCAGAGCUGAACCACCAGACGAGUCACUGCAGAAAAACGGAACCUGACUGGUCUUCAUCGUGUGGCGGGUUCAUGCUGCCUCCUGCUGCUGAAGAUACGUACAUGGCAUAGAGGCUGAUAGGAAACAGAGAGGGAACCAGGGACGCUGCCUUUAAUCAUGGGAAACAAGUCCAGAGAGCCAGAGGGCCGUCUGGUAGAACAUGAUGAGGGUCUAUGGGAGAGAUAGUGUUAGGUGGUUGUCUGUGUGGUCGGAAGAAUUUGAAUUUCUAUGUUUUCACUAUUAUCGGGUUUCAUUUUUAUUCCUCAAAUUGCAUGUUUUUAUGUUUUUAUGUUUUUUAUUUCCAAUAUUUACUGUUAAAUGUUUGUUUUAUGUAAACAUUGAGUUGCCAUUGUGUAUGAAAUGCUCUGUAUAAGUAAAGCUGCCUUGCCUUUAUGUGGCAGGCCAACCACUCGGCUACCAAGCCACUCUCAGUUUUUAGAUAAGCACCAGGGUGUAACUUCAUCACUUCAGUUACAGAUAUCAUGUUAAUAACUGUUGCAGUCCAGUUAAACAGAACCUCGUCCUCCUUAAUGCCUCCAUUUAAUGUCACAUUAUAUAAUCAACUGCAUCAGUGUCUGCAGGGAUAAAAGGCUCAAAUCAAGCUACAAGCAGCCUGGUGUUUCCCUUUGUUCCAGUAUGUGGUGUAAAAUACUUUGUUUUUUAUUUAAAUUCAUUGUUUAAUGACUUUGUUCAUGUAUAUAAAUGAGAUAUUUGUUGUUUACUGUGUUUGUAUCUGUAUGUAAAGCCCAGUUAUUAUAUAUCAGAGUGUUGUGCAGCAGCUGGGAAAGUUUUUAAAUGUCUAAACUGAAAUUUUGUAGUUAAGUAUUUUGGAAAUGUUAUAUCAUUUAUAUCAUUUAUAUCAUUUAUAUAAGGUCUUCAAUGUCUGUUACUAAGUUUUUAAGUCUUAUUAAGUUUUAAAUAUUCUAUUUUUUUGCCUUUUUAUUGAACAGUUGGCCAACAGGAAACUGGGUUUGACAUGCAACAAAUGUGCCUGAUUAGAAGCAGGAGCGUUGCAGAUAAACAGCUUACAGUUAAAAUAUGAACAUAUAUUAACAUUGAAUGUGUUACAGUGGAGUAGUGAAAGUCCUGCUCACCAGAAUGACUUGAUGUGUGUGUUCAUUAAACACUAAAUAAAUGAUUGUUAACAAGAUGAUGUUUUCUUAUGUUUUUUUUUUUUUUAAAAGCAAUUUUAACUUGAAACAAUUAAAGACUGUAA